UACGUAGGCAGCAAGCGUUGUUCGGAGUUACUGGGCGUAAAGGGUGUGUAGGCGGUUGUUUUAAGUUUGGUGUGAAAUCUCCCGGCUCAACCCGGGAGGGUGCGCCGAAUACUGAGUGACUAGAGUGCGGGAGAGGAAAGUGGAAGUUCCUGGUGGAUAGCGGUGAAAGUGCGUAGAUAUCAGGAGGAACACCGGUGGUGUAG
rnacentral:rRNA from 1 species